rnacentral:rRNA from 1 species
CCUACGGGAGGCAGCAGUGAGGAAUCUUCCACAAUGGGGGAAACCCUGAUGGAGCAACGCCGCGUGCAGGAUGAAGGCCUUCGGGUUGUAAACUGCUUUUAUAAGUGAAGAAUAUGACGGUAACUUAUGAAUAAGCACCGGUUAACUACGUGCCAGCAGCCGCGGUAAU